rnacentral:tRNA from 1 species
GCCGGAUUAGCUCAGGGGUAGAGCAACCGCCUUGUAAGCGGUAGGUCGUGUGUUCAAUUCACACAUCCGGCACCA